rnacentral:rRNA from 1 species
GGCGAGGUUAAGGCGUGAACCGAGCCGCAGUGAAAGCGAGCCUUUAAGAUGGCGAUCAGUCGCCAGCCGCAGACGCGAAGCCGGGUGAUCUAUCCAUGGGCAGGCUGAGGCAGAGGUAAGACUCUGUGGAGGGCCGAACCCACUUCGGUUGAAAACGGAGGGGAUGACCUGCGGAUAGGGGUGAAAGGCCAAUCAAACCCGGAGAUAUCUCGUUCUCCCCGAAAUAGCUUUAGGGCUAGCCUCGAUCGCUUACCGACGGUGGUAGAGCACUGGAUCCGUGCGGGGGCCUCACCGCCUACCAACCGAAACCAAACUCCGAAUGCCGUCGGUCCCGAGAUCGGGAGUCAGAACAUGUGGGCUAAGCCGUGUGUUCGAGAGGGAAACAGCCCAGACCGCCUGCUAAGGUCCCCAAAUCAACGCUGAGUGGCAAAGGAUGUGCGUUUGCCUAGACAACCAGGAUGUUGGCUUAGAAGCAGCCAUGCAUUUAAAGAGUGCGUAACAGCUCACUGGUCAAGUGGACAUGCGCCGACAAUACACGGGGCUAAGCGUUGUACCGAAGCAGCGGACUGUUUUAUCAGUGGUAGGGGAGCUUUCCAUGCCGGGGCGAAGCCGACGGGCGACCGUCGGUGGACUGCAUGGAAGUGAGAAUGCUGGCAUGAGUAACGAGAGAGGGGCGAGAAACCCCUCCGCCGUAAGCCUAAGGGUUCCUGGGCAAGGCUAAUCCUCCCAGGGUCAGUCGGGGGCUAAGGCGAGGCCGGGAGGCGUAGCCGAUGCGCAACAGGCGGACAUUCCUGUACCACCGCGGAGCUUGACUACGAUGGGGCGACGGAGAAGGGUAGCCGGGCGGGGUUCUGGACGUCCCCGUGAAAGCGCGUAGGCCGCAGGGCAGGCAAAUCCGCCCUGCAGCGAGGCCGAGACGUUAGACGAAGCUUCAUGUGAAGCCGGCGAGCCCAUGCUUCCGAGAAAAACCUCUAAGGAGCGAGGCGGUGCCCGUACCAAAACCGACACAGGUAGGCGGGUAGAGCAUACCAAGGCGAUCGGGAGAACCAUGGUUAAGGAACUCGGCAUACUGACUCCGUAACUUCGGGAGAAGGAGUGCCCCCGCCUGUGAGGUCCCACGCGGACGGAGCGGGAGGGGGUCGCAGCGAAACGGCCCAAGCGACUGUUUACCAAAAACACAGGACUCUGCAGAAGCCGCAAGGCGACGUAUAGGGUCUGACGCCUGCCCGGUGCCGGAAGGUUACGCGGAUGAGUUAGCGCAAGCGAAGCCCUGAAGCCAAGCCCCAGUAAACGGCGGCCGUAACUAUAACGGUCCUAAGGUAGCGAAAUUCCUUGUCGGGUAAGUUCCGACCUGCACGAAUGGCGUAACGACUUGGGCGCUGUCUCAACCAUGGACCCGGUGAAAUUGUAUUAUUCGUGAAGAUGCGAAUUACCUGCGGAAGGACGGAAAGACCCCGUGAACCUUCACUGC